AGUGAACGCUGGCGGUAGGCCUAACACAUGCAAGUCGAACGGCAGCACAGUAAGAGCUUGCUCUUACGGGUGGCGAGUGGCGGACGGGUGAGGAAUACAUCGGAAUCUACUUUUUCGUGGGGGAUAACGUAGGGAAACUUACGCUAAUACCGCAUACGACCUACGGGUGAAAGCAGGGGAUCUUCGGACCUUUCGCGAUUGAAUGAGCCGAUGUCGGAUUAGCUAGUUGGCGUGGUAAAGGCCCACCAAGGCGACGAUCCGUAGCUGGUCUGAGAGGAUGAUCAGCCACACUGGAACUGAGACACGGUCCAGACUCCUACGGGAGGCAGCAGUGGGGAAUAUUGGACAAUGGGCGCAAGCCUGAUCCAGCCAUACCGCGUGGGUGAAGAAGGCCUUCGGGUUGUAAAGCCCUUUUGUUGGGAAAGAAAAGCAGCAGGUUAAUACCCCGCUGUUCUGACGGUACCCAAAGAAUAAGCACCGGCUAACUUCGUG
rnacentral:rRNA from 1 species